GACGUAGGGCGCGAGCGUUGUCCGGAUUUAUUGGGCGUAAAGCGCGCGUAGGCGGCUACUUAAGUCGGAUGUGAAAGCCCUUGGCUCAACUGAGGAAGUGCACCCGAAACUGAGUAGCUGGAGUACGAAAGAGGGUCGCGGAAUUCCCGGUGUAGAGGUGAAAUUCGUAGAUAUCGGGAGGAACACCGGUGGCGAAGGCGGCGACCUGGGUCGAUACUGACGCUGAGGCGCGAAAGCGUGGGGAGCAAACAGG
rnacentral:rRNA from 1 species